GGACUGUGUCUUAUUUCCCUAGGUGGUUUCUGAGGAUCUCAUCCCACCACCACCUCCCUUUCCACUAAGAUUUUCUCCUUAAUCUUCAGGAGAAAUGGAUGAAGACAACUUAUUUUUAGGAGUCACUAACAUGCUAGAAGCCUGGUGCCUCAGGAACAUGAGAAUUGCUUUCUGCACACCCCAAACACUGUCAACUGGAGUCAGCUUCUUGUGUGACUGGGUCUGUACUGCUGGUUGCUCAGGCCCUGGGAGAUCACCCCAAAGCACACCACCCUGUCUGAGGAAAUGGUUCUCACACCCAUAGAACUAAUGAUGAGAUUUCUCUGCAGAUGAAGACAGUGGAGAAGGAAUAGCAGCUGAGAAGGGCAACAGCUCCCUCUAAAAUCUCCAUGCGAUUGAAAGUGCAGUGAAGUAAAUCAGGGCUGAGUCUGGGGACUAUCUGGUGACUUCCUCAAGCCAGCCAUACAAAUGAUGAGGCCUUUCCAGUUCAG
rnacentral:lncRNA from 1 species